CCUACGGGAGGCAGCAGUGAGGAAUAUUGGUCAAUGGGCGUAAGCCUGAACCAGCCAAGUCGCGUGAGGGAUGAAGGUUCUAUGGAUCGUAAACUUCUUUUAUAAAGGAAUAAAGUGAGGCACGUGUGCCUUUUUGUAUGUACUUUAUGAAUAAGGAUCGGCUAACUCCGUGCCAGCAGCCGCGGUAAUACGGAGGAUCCGAGCGUUAUCCGGAUUUAUUGGGUUUAAAGGGAGCGUAGAUGGGUUGUUAAGUCAGUUGGGAAAGUGUGGGGCUCAACCGUAAAAGUGCAUUUGAUACUGGCAGUCUUGAGUAGAGGAGAGGUAGGCGGAAUUCGUGGUGUAGCGGUGAAAUGCUUAGAUAUCACGAAGAACUCCGAUUGCGAAGGCAGCUUACUGAACUGCCACUGACAUUGAUGCGCGAAAGUGUGGGUAUCAAACAGGAUUAGAUACCCCAGUAGUC
rnacentral:rRNA from 1 species